AAAGGCAGUGAGUUCUCUCAGCCAAUCUCUCAGCCAAUUACAGGUCAACUUUCUCGUCCACCCCGCUCACUGCUGCGCUU
rnacentral:sRNA from 1 species